UACGUAGGGACCGAGCGUUGUCCGGAUUCAUUGGGCGUAAAGAGCUCGUAGGCGGUCUGUCGCGUCGGCUGUGAAAACCCGGAGCUCAACUCCGGGCCUGCAGUCGAUACGGGCAAACUGGAGUGUUGCAGGGGAGACUGGAAUUCCUGGUGUAGCGGUGAAAUGCGCAGAUAUCAGGAGGAACACCGGUGGCGAAGGCGGGUCUCUGGGCAACACGUGACGCUGAGGAGCGAAAGCGUGGGGAGCGAACAGGA
rnacentral:rRNA from 1 species